rnacentral:rRNA from 1 species
UACGGGGGGAGCAAGCGUUGUUCGGAUUUACUGGGCGUAAAGGGCGCGUAGGCGGCCACCGCAAGUCGACUGUGAAAUCUCUGGGCUUAACCCAGAAAGGUCAGCCGAUACUGCGGGGCUAGAGUGCAGAAGGGGCAACUGGAAUUCUCGGUGUAGCGGUGAAAUGCGUAGAUAUCGGGAGGAACACCUGCGGCGAAGGCGGGUUGCUGGGCUGACACUGACGCUGAAGCGCGAAAGCGAGGGGAGCGAACGGG